rnacentral:rRNA from 1 species
CAGUAGCCGCGGGAAUACGGAGGGGGCUAGCGUUGUUCGGAAUUACUGGGCGUAAAGCGCACGUAGGCGGCUAUGUAAGUCAGGGGUGAAAUCCCGCAGCUCAACUGCGGAACUGCCUUUGAUACUGGGUAUCUUGAGUAUGGAAGAGGUUAGUGGAAUUGCGAGUGUAGAGGUGAAAUUCGUAGAUAUUCGCAGGAACACCAGUGGCGAAGGCGGCUAACUGGUCCAUAACUGACGCUGAGGUGCGAAAGCGUGGGGAGCAAACAGGAUUAGAUACCCCUGUAGUCCCUGUCUCUUAUAC